rnacentral:rRNA from 1 species
CCACUAUGCCUAGCCCUAAAUCCAGAUGCCUAUUUUACUAAGACAUCCGCCAGAGAACUACGAGCACAAACGCUUAAAACUCUAAGGACUUGGCGGUGUCCUACACCCACCUAGAGGAGCCUGUUCUGUAAUCGAUAACCCACGAUACACCCAACCUCUCCUUGCCAAAGCAGCCUACAUACCGCCGUCGCCAGCUUACCCCCAAUGAAGGAACCACAGUAAGCAAAAUAGUCACAUCACUAACAAGACAGGUCAAGGUAUAGCCCAUGGAGAGGAAGAAAUGGGCUACAUUCUCUAACAUAGGGAACCACCAACGAAAGGGGGCGUGAAACCGCCCCCAGAAGGCGGAUUUAGCAGUAAAGCAGGACAAAAGAGCCUGCUUUAAGUCGGCCCUAGGACACGU